rnacentral:misc_RNA from 1 species
AGGAGAAAAACUGGGGGUAAAUUUUCAAAAUUACAGUUUUAACUUUGAUCUUUUGUAGAACAAAUCAUUAAUGAAGGAUAAAUAAGAUAAUUGGAAGUUUUCCUUUCACUUUCUAUCCUAUUUAGAGUUUAUUUUGUAGCCCAAGGGGAAGAUGUUGAAUGAUUUUCUGCUCACUCUCCUGCCUCCCUUGUUUUCCAUUGAUUUUCCAUUAGGUAGACAUGGACCUAUAAACUUCUCUGAGCGAGAAAAACAAUUACGAUGUGCUCAUAAUAACUUACCAUUAUAAAUUCACAAAAAUAUGAGUGUUUGUAGAUGAAGUGUGUACCAGAGGGCAGUUGUAAUAGUAAUCUUCUAUUGGCAUGAGAUCUAGAAUUGAAUCUUGAAACUUGCUGGUCAGCUCUUUAGGUGCAUAUUUUUCUAUGUUGACGUGAUUAAAGCUCAAUAGACCUACAGUAGAUGACUUGGAUACCAUUCAACUUGAAAGUCUAUUACUGUCAAACAUUAGACCACAUACACAGAUCAUUGAAAUUUUGACUUGACGGAUUGUUAAAUAAGAAGCACAGGAACAAUGACUUUUUUAGAAGGAAUGAAAUGGUUUCUGGGAUCUU